AUAAAUAAAUAAGCUAUUUUAAAGAUAAAAAUAAAUACAUGUCCAAAAUAUAAUUCUAGAAAAAUUUUAUAAAUUUCAAAAAUUUAGUCAUACGAUUUCAUAAAAAUUUGCGAGAGUUUUGAAGUUUCUCAAAUUUUUUAAAAAAAAUCUGGACAUCGCCUUAAACGGCAUACAAAAAGGCGAUGAAUGAUACUUCCACACCUAAAUUCUUUAUUCCGAAUUAUUCAAAGAUGAAUUACGAGUCAUCAUUAAUAUGGGUGCUUGUUUACGGGGCUAAUAUAAUUGCGAUAUUGAUAUCGAAUGGACUCCUCAUAUACGUGAUAUCCUUCAAAGUUCUAAAUAAAAAAAGUCGGAGAAAACGUGUAUCCACUAAACAAUCAAACGAAAUUACCGACCAUGAGCUAAGUAACAAGAAGGGCGUUAAAAACAGUAAUUCUAUUCCGAAUGUUAUAAAUUGUCAAGGGUCUCUAUCCAAAGAUGUAAUAGUGAUGAAUUAUUUCCUCAUAUUUCUGAGCAUAGCCGAUAUUCUGGUAGGAGGAAUAUGUUUACCUCUUUUUGUCGUGUUAAAUUUUCCUCGUGUUUUUUUACCAAUUAUCCAAAUUAAUGGUUCAACUGGAUAUGUAGAUAACGUUAACCCUUAUAAAACUACAUCCCAAUCUAAAGAAUUUUACAAAUUUAAUAAUAAUGUAAGCCUAUUAUUGGCGCCUACAAUGACGACAGCUUUGGGAGAUAUUUUAGAAUCUCAGCAAAAUUCUAUUAAAGAUGAAGGAUAUCGAAAAAUUAACUAUGCUUACUUCUGUUGGUCCCAGAUAAUAUUCACAUUUUUCAAUGGGUACAGUGGUUUUGCCAGUGGCUAUUGCAUUAUAGCACUAGCUUACAACCGUUAUAAAGCAAUAAAACAAAUGGAUUCUAACGAAUAUUUGUUUGGAAGGCUAAUAAAGAAGGUCAGCUUUAAUAUUGGGCAUAAUAUAUUUCUUAAAAGACUAAAUAAUUAUAUUACACAAUUCUGCAAUUCCAUAUUCAUGUCAUCCAAUAUUUUUGACGAAAUAUUGCUUAUACACCUAUUAAAAAAAUGGUAUACAUGGCCAGUUGUAUUAUUAACCAUUUUGAGCGUUCUUUCCUCACUACCCAUGGUGAUCCUAACAAAAAAUUCUAAUUGUUAUACAAAUAUUAUUACAAACAAAUUCUCGUGGGACAAAAUAUUUUUGAUGUAUUCAACAUUGAUCGGUAUCAUAAUCCCAGUCGUAGUUUCAUUACUAUUUUACUUUAUGUCCAUAAGACACUUAAACUCGGCUUCUUCCACCUCCAGAGAUAUCCUAAAAUGUGAAAGAUCCACGAAACGUAACAUGAGGGCCAUACAAAUGAUUCUUUGCAUCAUGUUGUUAUAUAUCAUGGUAGGGACGCCACUUACUGUAUUUAGUUUUCUAGAUAUUUUCUCAGUCGUCGAUUUCCAAGCCGAAUUUUGGCAAAAAAUUUUUAUAUCGGAGAUUCUCAAUCUGGUAGUCUCUCUUGAUAGAUGGGCUAAUGUUGUAAUCAUAUUUUAUUUUGGUGGUAAUCUGCGACGAGCUUUCUAUAGCGUUUUCACAAAUAGUUGUUGCAAAACGAACAAAAAAACAAACCACGAUAAGAAGAGAACACAUAAUGAGUUCAGUUGUAGCAAUCUUGGAUCAUGUAUGAGGCCCCUAUUACUAAAUAAAAAUAAUAUUUCAAAAUCAUUUCAAAGAAUUUAUAACUUCAAAAAUGUUGUGUCAGAGCAAAGAGGUAUCCUACACGUUCUCGGUCCAGAAAUCAGUUUAUCAACCUCAACGAAUAAUUCAAAAUAUAAAGCUCUGCCUUCAGAUUUAAAUAAUAUACCCAUAAUGAUAAUCAAUAAUUUAGGAACUCAUCAUCCCAAUCCAACGAUAAAGAUAGGUUAUGAUGCAGAAUAUAAUACAUCAAGUUUUAAGAACAUUCCAAGGUCACCUUUCAAGGCGAAUAAAGAUAUUAAAAGUACCAAAGAACCAUCUUGCAAGAGCAAAAUAACCUUUGAUAAAAUUACACAGAUAAAAAUGGCUGCACAUCAAAAUAAUUUCAAAAACCGGAAAAUUUUGAUAUCUUGUCCGGAAGAUGAUUCUAAUGAUAAAAUACUUUCUCCCUGGAAAUACAUCCUUGGACAUGCCUUAAAUUCUUUAACAUCCGAAACUUCGUCGACAUCCACUCGGUCUACACUUACUUGAAAUAAAAAUUAUAACGAAAAAAGACCCUCCUCACCUCUCCACUCCUGGAUACGUCUAUGACUCAAGUUCACUUAUUCACAAAAUCACUGAAGAAGCCAGGGUAGGUUUUUAACUUAGAUAAAGACACUCCAUUGCCAUUCAUAAAUCGAAUUACAUCAGUUUCAUUGGAUACGGAGCUAAUCUAACUUUUUUUUAAAAUCCUUUUUACAAAUUUUUUUUUUCGUAUAUAAAUAAUCCUUUUUACAAAUUUUUUUCUCGUAUAUAAAUAAUCCUUUUUACAUAUUUUAAUUUUAUGUUUUUAUAUUUUAACAUAUGAUGGAUUAAAAUUAUGAUGAAGUAUAUAAAUUAUAAUACAAAAUAUAAACAUAUAUAAUAGAAAUAUUUUUUAAAGGAAUUAUUAUCAUUUAUAUCAUACCAUUGUAUAAUUUGCCAAAUUGUAUGUAUCCUGUUUUAAACGUUCAAAAAAGAAAACUCUCGUGAUAUAUAUAAUU